UACGUAGGGUGCAAGCGUUAAUCGGAAUUACUGGGCGUAAAGCGUGCGCAGGCGGCCAUGCAAGACAGAUGUGAAAUCCCCCGGGCUUAACCUGGGAACUGCAUUUGUGACUGCAUGGCUAGAGUACGGCAGAGGGGGAUGGAAUUCCGCGUGUAGCAGUGAAAUGCGUAGAUAUGCGGAGGAACACCGAUGGCGAAGGCAAUCCCCUGGGCCUGUACUGACGCUCAUGCACGAAAGCGUGGGGGAGCAAACAGG
rnacentral:rRNA from 1 species